rnacentral:lncRNA from 1 species
CAACAUAUAAUUUUAUUAUAUCAAAAAUGAUUUUUAAUUCUUGAAAUAGUUUGGUUGAGUUUAGUUGUCUAAAAAGGAAAGUAAAUAAAUAUUAAUCUCAGCUCAGCGUUGCCAUCAAAAUUAUCAAUUGGCAGAGGAAAAAGAAAAGAAGAAAAAACAGAGUAGAGACAAAACUCAAAGCCAGGGGAAAGAUGAAUCAUCUUUACUACUUUCCUUCCCUUUGGACAUAAUUUAAAAAAGAAAGAAAAGGCAGUAAAAACCAUGAGAUAAUAUUAUAUAUAAAAGGGAAAGGGCAUCAACCCUUUGGCUUUUGAUCUUGUCCUCCUCUCCUAAGGGCUUCAUAUUCUGUCAAUAACAGGAAAACAAAAACACUCCAUUGCAUCGAAAGCCAGCCCCUCUGUUUUGCCACUUCUGGCCAACCCCAAUUUCUCCCUUUGCUCUCUCUCUCUCUCUCUCUGUGUUCUUUCUUUUGCCUUGUCUUCAAGGAAAGCACUUGCCUCUUUACAUUCAUUUGCCACUCUUUUGUUUUCCAUUUUGAUGAUUCUGAGGCGCACCUGACCAAGCUCCCUCAUCAUCAUUUUAGUACUUGUGGAGAGGAGGAGGAGGAGGAGAGGGGGGGUCCCUUUUGAUGAUUCUGAGGCGCACCUGAACCAAGCUCCAUCAUCAUCAUUUUAGUACUUCUGGGAAGGGGGGGUUUUGGAUCAUUAAAUGAGGGCUGGUUGGUUGCCUUGCCUACCAUUGUAAAAAAGGCUAAAUUUUCUUGCUUUUGGAGUAAAUGGGUAGUGGAAAGAUGGAAUCUUUUGCGAAGGAGAAGCUCAGGACCCUCUGUUGCAGCAAUGACUGGUCUUUUGGAGUCCUCUGGCGCCUUGAUCAGCGGAAUUCCAUGUGAGUUCUCCUUCUCAUUUCUUCUUCUUCUUCAAAAUUGGUGAAAGAUUUUGUCUUUUUUGGUGGGUGAUCUGAUCUCUCUGCUUAACUAGUGGAAGAGAAGUCUUAUACGAUGUUAUUUUGUCC